GAAUUGACAUACAACUAUGGAGUCGACAAAUAUGAUAUUGGUACCGGCUUUGGUCAUUUUGCAAUUGCUUCUGAAGAUGUAUAUAAACUGGCAGAGGUCAUUAAGGCCAAGGGCGGUAAGAUCACCCGGGAGCCUGGUCCUGUCAAAGGUGGGACGACCGUAAUUGCUUUUGCACAAGACCCUGAUGGUUACCUGUUUGAGCUGAUUCAAAGAGGGCCCACACCCGAGCCUCUCUGUCAAGUUAUGCUCCGAGUGGGCGACCUGGAUCGUUCUAUUAAAUUUUAUGAGAAGGCUUGUGGGAUGAAGUUGCUGCGGAAGAGAGACAAUCCUGAGUACAAGUAUACUCUUGCCAUGAUGGGUUAUGCUGAUGAAUAUGAAUCCACUGUUCUGGAGUUGACAUACAACUAUGGUGUUACAGAGUACACUAAGGGCAAUGCAUAUGCACAGGUCGCUAUUGGCACCGAAGAUGUUUAUAAAAGUGCUGAGGCUGUUGAACUAGUCACUAAAGAAUUGGGAGGAAAAAUCACUAGACAACCAGGACCUAUUCCUGGAAUCAGCACGAAAAUCACCUCUUUUCUCGAUCCCGACGGUUGGAAAACAGUCUUGGUCGACCAUUCCGAUUUUCUGAAGGAGCUGGAGUUAGCUUAAGUGUAGUGUCUUUGUACUGGGAUGAGAACGUAUGAUUCCUACUUUUCACAAUAAUAUGUAUGUGGUGAGAUGCUGGUAUGGAAUAAGUUUGUACCCAACUUGUUAACAUGUUUAUGCAUGUGGGAAAAUACUCUUUAGGUUGGUUG
rnacentral:misc_RNA from 1 species